rnacentral:rRNA from 1 species
AUACGUAGGGUGCGAGCGUUGUCCGGAAUUACUGGGCGUAAAGAGCUCGUAGGUGGUUUGUCGCGUCGUCUGUGAAAUUCCGGGGCUUAACUCCGGGCGUGCAGGCGAUACGGGCAUAACUUGAGUACUGUAGGGGAGACUGGAAUUCCUGGUGUAGCGGGGAAAUGCGCAGAUAUCAGGAGGAACACCGGUGGCGAAGGCGGGUCUCUGGGCAGUAACUGACGCUGAGGAGCGAAAGCAUGGGUAGCGAACAGGAUUAGAUACCCUGGUAGUCCAUGCCGUAAACGGUGGGCGCUAGGUGUAGGGGUCUUCCACGACUUCUGUGCCGUAGCUAACGCAUUAAGCGCCCCGCCUGGGGAGUACGGCCGCAAGGCUAAAACUCAAAGGAAUUGACGGGG